rnacentral:rRNA from 1 species
AACGAACGCUGGCGGCAUGCCUAACACAUGCAAGUCGAGCGAGAAAGGGGGUUCGCUUCCGAGUACAGCGGCGGACGGGUGAGUAACACGUAGGUAAUUUUCCCUUGAGCGGGGGACAACGUUCCGAAAGGGAUGCUAAUACCGCAUAAGUUCUUGGGUGCUUCGGCACUGGAGAGGAAAGCUAGGCCGCAAGGUCUGGCACUCGAGGAGAAGCCUGCGUCGCAUCAGCUAGUUGGUGGGGUAAUGGCCUACCAAGGCAAAGACGCGUAGCUGGUCUGAGAGGAUGAUCAGCCACACUGGGACUGAGACACGGCCCAGACUCCUACGGGAGGCAGCAGUGGGGAAUAUUGGACAAUGGGCGCAAGCCUGAUCCAGCCACGCCGCGUGAGUGAUGAAGGCC